rnacentral:tRNA from 3 species
GCGAUAAUAGCUCAGUUGGUAGAGCGUUGGCUUCCCAAGCCGAAGGUCGCGGGUUCGAGUCCCGUUUAUCGCUCCU